rnacentral:rRNA from 1 species
UACGAAGGGGGCUAGCGUUGCUCGGAAUCACUGGGCGUAAAGGGUGCGUAGGCGGGUUUUUAAGUCAGAGGUGAAAUCCUGGAGCUCAACUCCAGAACUGCCUUUGAUACUGAAAGUCUUGAGUAUGGGAGAGGUGAGUGGAACUGCGAGUGUAGAGGUGAAAUUCGUAGAUAUUCGCAAGAACACCAGUGGCGAAGGCGGCUCACUGGCCCAUAACUGACGCUGAGGCACGAAAGCGUGGGGAGCAAACAGGGA